UAGAAUUAAUGAAACUCAAAGACGAGUCUUGAAGUAUCCAUAGAACUUCCGUCUUGUCGGAGUGUAGAAUUAAAGAAACUCAAAGACGAGUCUUGAAGUAUCCAUAGAACUUCCGCUUUACAGUCUUGCGGCUACAGAUUUACGGUCUUGCGCCUACAGAUUUGCAAAUCUGAUUUGCGAGAGAAGAAAUGAAGGAUAGAUUUGAUCCCAUUAGACGUGUCAAAAAUUAUUCGCAAUAAACUUUCGUAGUGUUGAAAAUAAACUCCAAAUAAUUUAUUUAUUUUUUUAAAAAAGAAUAAUUUUAUUUAAAUGCAUUUUGCGGGUACAAUUCUGUUAUUCUCUUGAUUUCUCUCUCCUAAGCUUUUCCAUGAUUCGAGAGCCUUUUGUUGCGUAAUUCUUGAACUUUCGAAUGAUUUGAGAUUGUUGGACAGCACUUUGUGUUAUCGAGUUGUUCGGAUGAUUUGAUAUUGUCGGACAAGAUUGUGUUAUUGAGUUGAUCUUCGGACAGGACUCCAUUAGUUAAUUCUUUUGAAGAGUUGUGUAGUCAAUGCAGAAGCUUUCUCCAAUGCUUGCA
rnacentral:lncRNA from 1 species